rnacentral:rRNA from 1 species
UACGUAGGGUGCAAGCGUUGUCCGGAAUUAUUGGGCGUAAAGAGCUUGUAGGCGGUUUGUCGCGUCUGCUGUGAAAUUUCGGGGCCCAACCCCGAACUUGCAGUGGGUACGGGCAGACUAGAGUGUGGUAGGGGAGACUGGAAUUCCUGGUGUAGCGGUGAAAUGCGCAGAUAUCAGGAGGAACACCGAUGGCGAAGGCAGGUCUCUGGGCCAUAACUGACGCUGAGAAGCGAAAGCAUGGGGAGCGAACAGG